UACGAAGGGGGCGAGCGUUGUUCGGAAUUACUGGGCGUAAAGGGCGCGUAGGCGGCCCCUUUUUGUCGCGUGUGAAAGCCCCCGGGCUCAACCUGGGAACGGCGCGCGAAACGGGGGGGCUUGAGUUCGGGAGAGGAGAGUGGAAUUCCUAGUGUAGAGGUGAAAUUCGUAGAUAUUAGGAAGAACACCGGUGGCGAAGGCGGCCCACUGGCUCGACACUGACGCUGAGGUGCGAAAGCGUGGGGAGCAAACAGG
rnacentral:rRNA from 1 species